rnacentral:rRNA from 1 species
UACGGAGGGAGCUAGCGUUGUUCGGAAUUACUGGGCGUAAAGCGCGCGUAGGCGGCUUUGUAAGUUAGAGGUGAAAGCCCGGGGCUCAACUCCGGAACUGCCUUUAAGACUGCAUCGCUUGAAUCCGGGAGAGGUGAGUGGAAUUCCGAGUGUAGAGGUGAAAUUCGUAGAUAUUCGGAAGAACACCAGUGGCGAAGGCGGCUCACUGGACCGGUACUGACGCUGAGGCGCGAAAGCGUGGGGAGCAAACGGG